AGAAGGGACCUUUUUGUGCGGGUUUUCCUCUAUGAUUCUCAAUUUCGCUCCCUUCUUGGUAUAUUCAAAGUCACCCGUUGGGAUUUUAGCAAGCAACGUGAGUGCUUACAACGUGGGUGCUAGCAAGGAAGGGCUCGCACUAAUCUUCUGGGAUUCCCUUUUCUUUGAUUUGCUCGAGUUGCUGGAAGGGUGCCAAUUUCCGUGUGAACAAAACUGUUGACCCAAACCCGUGGGUAUUGUGCAUCAGUACAUAAGUCAUAUUUCGGAAGCUCGGAUCAGAAAACUUCCUCAAUCAAAGUUGUUCAUCUGCUCGAGUACUAUAGCCAGUAAAAUUUGCAGAAUUUUUUGAAAUUUUCUGAUACCUCAAAGCUGGUUUGCAACUUCUGCAUUCAUCCAGGGCUGGCUUGAUUGAGAGGUUCCAAAGCAUGAGGAAUGCCAUCUUCUUACUGAUUUGCUGGGAUCUUGAUAGAAUAAAGAUUUUUGGAAGAAGUAGACUGAAGAUGAGAAGGAAAAGGCUAAGCGAGUUGCUAGAAGAGAUUCAUACAGCUUGUUUUCCUCCAGAUAAGUAACAAACAGUUUGCUUUCCUCCAAAAGGAAAAUUGAAAUUUACAACAGCUUCAGGAUUCUUGUCUCUCUCUUUUGCUUGACAUGAAGCCCCCAAGUCAUUUGGAGUUUGCAUGUGCUGUUUGCUAUGAUGGAUUCUCUUA